GUAAAGUCUAUUCUCAGGGAGUGUUUAUCAGGAAAAUAUGAACUUUCUUCUUUGUCAUUUGCAAUUACACAAUCUGCAAUAGGUUGACAUUUACUACAAAAUAGUCCCUUUGGCUGGGAAGUGCCCUAGCUCAUGGGUCUUGCCAACCCAGAUGGCCUCACUCUCACUGGCUGCAGAAACAAGCAUCUGACUCAAGGUCAGCCAACGCAUUGGUAUCUAGUAAACAAUCAGAUUUCUCUUUUUGGGGUUUGAACCAAGGGACAGAGAAAUUGGACUGAAACAUGGGGGCCAACUGGGGGCUGGCUGACAGAGUGAGCCAUGCACAAACACAGCACGCUUAGCCGGUGAGAGGAGCAUGGGGAGACAGCUGAGGAAGACCCUGUGGUCCACAGAGGAUAAAAAGGGGAGCAAUGGUAACUGUGUUUCCCUGAGGGAGGAAUGGUGGCGCCUCACUGCGUGUUGGCUGGUCCAGUUCCAUUUCUCAUGAAGCCAGACUCUGUUUCAGUUGCUAAAAACCAGGAAAUUGACAUUGUAUCCUCAUAUUACAUCUGUGUCUGUGGAUUAUAAGGUAAGAUCAGCCUCUGGAUCGCUCAGCUGGUCCCCUUUUAUCCUUCCCUCACCUCCAUGGCCAUGUUUUCUCUGGACAUGGAAUCAAUUUCAUGAAGAUGUUUCUGGAUAAAACAUCCGUCUUCUGUUCUGUGUAGGGAAGUCUCCUGGACAGAAUGUAACCAGCACGUGAGAACUCGUGCUUUGUGGAAGUGAGUCAUGGACUUCCUCUACGUAAACAGUGCUCGCGGCUCCAUUCAUGCCGAACCGCUCACACCGGGCCCCAUCAAUGGCAAAACACGAGGCUGAGGGACUGAAACUUCUCUGUCUCCCUACCUUUGGAGUGUUCUAUGCUGUACGCUGACUUUUCCAAUCAAACUUGACCAAGUGUUGGGCUGGGAAAUCAGAAGUGCUCCUGGGGUCAGAAGUCUGACAUGGGUCUCACUGGCCCAGAAUCAAGGUGUCAGCAGGCUGCAUUCCUUCUGGAGGCUUUGGGGAAGAAUCCACUUCCAGCUCGUCUGGGUCGUCGGCAGAAUUCAGUUUCGUGCGGCUGUAGGACUGAGAUCCCCAUUUCUUUCCUGGCUCUCAGCUGGGGCUGCCCUUGGCUCCUAGAGGCCUCUCUCCAUUCCUUGCACGUGGUGCCUACAUCUUAGAACCAGAAAUGGCGUGCAUCUCCUCACGCUGCACAUUUCUUCUGCCUCUGAUUCUUCUGCUGCAUCGUCUGCCUUCCUCUUAUGCUCGCAAGGGCCCAUGUGAUACCUGGAUAAUUCACGAUGCUCCCUCUAUCACAAGGAGAAAAGUGAGCGGCCAAGUAGUGAAGACAAUGUGAGCCUCAGAAGAUUAGGGGAGAGAAGUACAGUUGAAAAGAGCUUCCUGUGAUUAAAAUGCAAAAAUAACUGAAGGAAUAUUAUGCUGAAAUGCC
rnacentral:lncRNA from 1 species